UACAGAGGUCCCAAGCGUUGUUCGGAUUCACUGGGCGUAAAGCGCACGUAGGCGGCUUUCUAAGUCAGGGGUGAAAUCCUGGAGCUCAACUCCAGAACUGCCUUUGAUACUGGGGAGCUCGAGUCCGGAAGAGGUGAGUGGAACUCCGAGUGUAGAGGUGAAAUUCGUAGAUAUUCGGAAGAACACCAGUGGCGAAGGCGGCUCACUGGUCCGGUACUGACGCUGAGGUGCGAAAGCGUGGGGAGCAAACAGG
rnacentral:rRNA from 1 species